CUACGGGAGGCAGCAGGCGCGAAACCUUUACACUGCACGCAAGUGCGAUAAGGGAAUCCUAAGUGAAUGCGUUCUACGUAUUCUUUUGCCAAGAGUAAAUACCUUGGGGAAUAAGGGGUGGGAAAGACUGGUGCCAGCCGCCGCGGUAACCCCAGCGCCCCAAGUGGGAAUCAUGUUUAUUGGGCCUAAAGCGUUCGUAGCCGGCUUUGUAAGUUCUCUGUGAAAUCGUUGCGCUUAACGUAACGACGUGCUGGGAAUACUGCAAAGCUUGGGACCGGGAAGGGCUAGAGGUAUUCUGGGGGGACCGGUAAAAUGGUAUAAUCCCCAGAGGACCAUCUGUGGCGAAGGCGUCUAGCUAGAACGGGUCCGACGGUGAGGGACGAAAGCCAGGGGAGCAAACGGGAUUAGAUACCCGCGUAGUC
rnacentral:rRNA from 1 species